GGGAUACGGCUGGCUGCUUCUUGGGAGGUUGCGAAUGGGGUAUCCCAUAUCUCCACUUUUCCAGCAGUUCCUUGCCCAGGUUUGUUUCUUCAAGCUGGGUGUGAGGGAGUUAGAAAUUGAUUCCUUUUCAGUCAAUACUGAUUUGGUCUAUGAUUUCAGUGAAAUGUAGCAGACUGCUUGAUGCUUGAAAGCUCUUCCCGCGGAUGUCUCAGUUGCUUACCUUCUAGUUCCAUGUUUGGCCAUGAGAUCAAUGACAAAAAAAUUGCUUCCGUCCUCACUAAAGUAGUUCUGAAGCAUAGUUCCGUGUUCUGUCAAAUGCUGCGUGUAGAGUAAGAAAAUAAAGGUAACGUGGUACUCAUGACCUUUUUAUUGUGUGCCUUGGGAGAGUUUGCAAUUCAGUUUAUGAGAAAAUGGAAGUGCAAGUACUUGUUCAAUAGCAUCAGUGCCAACAGAAGUGCAGUUCAGUUUGCAAUUGUUUCUGUGGGGCAUUCUCGCUUGGCUAGAUUAAAACGGAUAGAGAAAAAUUCAC
rnacentral:lncRNA from 1 species